UACGUAGGGGGCAAGCGUUGUCCGGAAUCAUUGGGCGUAAAGAGCGUGUAGGCGGCCCGGUAAGUCCGCUGUGAAAGUCGGGGGCUCAACCCUCGAAUGCCGGUGGAUACUGUCGGGCUAGAGUGCGGUAGGGGAGACUGGAAUUCCUGGUGUAGCGGUGAAAUGCGCAGAUAUCAGGAGGAACACCGGUGGCGAAGGCGGGUCUCUGGGCCGUAACUGACGCUGAGGAGCGAAAGCGUGGGGAGCGAACAGG
rnacentral:rRNA from 1 species